AGAGGUGGGGAUGGAGGAGGCGAUAACGGUGGUGGAAGUGGCAGAGUUGAGACAGGAAGAUGGUCAAGGUGAUGGGAAGGAGGGGUGGUGACAGUGGAGAGGGUAUACGGGACAGAGAUGGUUGUGCUUUUCCAGGUGAUGGUGGAGACAUUGGGCCAAGUGGUGUAAGUAGUCGAGACGACCACGCGGUGGACAGGGGCAGAGGAUGUGGGAGUGGUUAAAAGAUAGAGAUGGCAGGAAGGGUGGAUGGUAGUCGGUUAGGGUGACGAGGAGGGUGUGUGAUAGAGCUGGUCGAUUUGCUUAGGUUGUGGAGAGAGCUGGAGACUGUAUAGAUAUGGAGGCUUGAAGGUGCUCUGCACGGUGGAAAGGAAGUUGAUGGUAGUGCGGUCAGCUGAGUGGUGGGGAUCCUGUAGGGAUGGAACCGAGGAAGGCGGUAGCGGUGUUGGCGAGGGUGAGGAGAUCUAUGAUUGAAGGAGAAGAUGGAUUCCAAAGCCUUUGCUAUGGCUCUGCAACCAUCCUGCCCAGGAUGAUGGCUCUGUGGUUACCGGUUGAGCCUUGAGGAGUGAAUUCUUCCCAAGAAUCCUACGGCGACAGCAUCCCCAUUUCACAGAUGGAAAGCUACAGUGCUUAAAGAAUGAUAUUGGAGGGUGCACCUGAAGUUUCAGCAGGGGCAGCUCCACACCCCUUUGCUGACCUGGAUCCAGAGAGGAACAGGAGACUUGGAGUCCCCCAGACCCCACAGCCACAGGUUCUGUGGUCCUGGGACAACUCACCUUCCCUCUCUGCCCUCAGUUUUUCCCUCUGUGAAAUGGACCAAUGAGUCUGUAUCAGGCAAACAGUAGGUGAGUAAUACCUUCUCCCUUCUCUGCCAGAAGGCUCUGGAUUGCUCCAAAGUGUGCUCAACCUGGACUGGGGCCCGCUACUGGGGACUCAGUGGGUUGGGUUGAAAGCUGGGACUGGACAGAACUUAAGGGGCUGGAGUGGAGGCAGCUUUAGACUGGUCUUAAACACCACAUGGCAUUUCCUAGGAGACAGAGUAGGGCGGCCAUUCCAGAUGAGGGUCCCAGUGGGAUCCAACACUUAGGAGAUGAAAGUGGAAGGCAGAAAGGCCCAGUGCUGUAGCCACAGCAGGAGAUGUGCACCAAGAAAGCUGCCCAGGAAUAGACAGUUGGGAUUUUACCCUGCAGGUGAUAGGGAGCCCUAGAGCGUUCAGAGAAGGAUUGGCGUAUCCAGACUAAAGUAGUAAAAAGCUGUGAGGUGCUAGUGUGGCCGGGAAGGUGCAUGUCUGGAGGUGGAGUGACAUCAUGAAGUGGAAGCAGCCAUGGAACUGUUAAACCCCAACUCUAGAAACCCUAUCUUGUAGUAUAGGUGCUCAAAUGCAUUCUGGGAAGGCUUGGGGUGUACGUGUGUGAGGUAGGGCUUUAAUCUUUUACAUGGCAAGGAAAGGUUGCCAAAUAGGGCAGGGAUGGGAAGCUGGAGUAGUCAGUGUAUAGAUGAGGUGCAUUUGGGCCCAAAGGGCAGGCAGGGGACUUAGUGUUUGUCCAGUAGGCCCUCUGCUUGAUCUCCAGGGCAAGGCGGAGCUCUGGGCAGGAGGGGGUUGGGGGCUGGGCAGGUCCAGAUUGGAGUUUUUAUCACUGGGUGGGAUUCAAGGUCUGUGGAGGAAGUGGCCACCCCCUUCCGGCCAGGCUUUUUUUCCUUGCACUGGUGCUGGCCACGUUGGCUUUUUCCCGAGGCUCAGUUUCCAUAUACCGCCCCUCCUGGCUGGCCAGGCGUGGGCAUGACUCCACCACACACCCACAGCAGGGGCAGCCAGGCCCUAGGCUUCCUGUCCCUCUCUGGGCAGGCCUAUUGGAGGAAAACAGUACUCAAGCCUUCUUCAAAACAGGAAACUGCUCUCCCUGCUUCCUGGAGGACAGGAACUGUCCCCAUGGCAACUGCGGGACAAAGAGGCCACAUUAACCCUUCCCAGGGCAGGCCUGGCUUGCAGCUACUUCUUACUAAUGUCUCUGGGUAUGGCGCAAAUAGGCAUCUGGGAGUCAGCCCCAGCGACCUUCUCCAGUCUCAUGGCCAUUCUGAGGGCAAGAUGGAACUGGGAGUCUAUAACCAGUGGACAACACUAAGACAAGCUAAGGCCAGGGCACACAAUAACUGAGGGCCACAGGAGACAGCUAUGAGGCCUGACAUGGCACAUGGGGGGGUUACUUAUUCUAACUGUUGGCCCAUUGUUUGCUGUGUGCCUGGAGCAAGUGGCCUAGGCUUCUCAGAACUCAGUUUCUUGUCCUAUGAAAGAGUGGCCACCUCAAGGGACUGCUGGGAGCAUGGACAGAGGCAACAUAUGCAGGUAUCAUUCAUAAAUGUUGAUCCUAACUGCCUUCUGCUUCUCUGCUCGGGGGAGGCCCAAGGAAAGAGUCCGCACACAGGACAGUAAGAGAUGUCUGAGGAUCUGACAUCUAAGUCUCAGUGAUGGGGGCUGGGGUAUGGCAAGGCCUUAUCAGCUGCUGCAGAAGGAAACCCACAGAGAGCAUACUAGGAGAGGGGACGGUGAGGAUAUGGGACCGCCAUGUGGAGAAGGGCCUGCACUCUCUAAGACACAACAGGGUACAGGGAGAGAGGAAAAGAGAAAGAGAUGAGUAAGGGCUUUGGCUUUUCCUCUGGGAGCUAUGGGAAGACCUAGGGCUGGAGCAGAGAAGUAUGGAUUGUAACUCGCAUUAGGGCUUAAGGUAUGGCUAAGGGCAGAGCACUCCACACAGCCUGUUCAAGUGAGUCAGGGAGAAAGGAGGGGUAGGGAGAGGGAGGAAAUGGUGGAAAUGGGGAAGCUAGAAUC
rnacentral:sRNA from 1 species